GCUCCGUGAGGAGCUCCGACGGCGGCCGGGCCGAGCAGCUCUGAAGGAGGAAUCGCUCACGGCCGCGCUCGGCGCCGUGGAGAGCCGCCUCCUCCGGCCGGGGAAAACCACCUUAACGGGGAGGCAGGAAGCGGCGGCGGGCACCAAUCAGGCCGGGCUGGGGAAGGGAGGGCCGUGGCGGCGGCGGAGAGGAGGCCGCGAUGUGAGCCGGGUGCCUGCGGGCGGAUGGCCGAGGGCAGUCCCCCCGGCGGUGGGGCCGCCCCGAGCGGCGGCGGGGAAGCUGCGGGCGCCCUCAGCGCCCCGGGCGGGCCCGCAGCGCAGGUCGGAAUCUGAAGGAGUGGCUGCGGGAGCAGUUCUGCGACCACCCCCUGGAGCACUGCGAGGACACCCGGCUACACGAUGCAGCCUACGUGGGGGAUCUGCCCACGCUGAAGAGCUUGCUGGAGGAGGAGAGCUUCCAGAGGUGAGGGGGCUGCUCCCGCCCGGAGCCAGCCCAGCCCUGCCCGCUG
rnacentral:lncRNA from 1 species